UACGGGGGGGGCAAGCGUUGUUCGGAAUUACUGGGCGUAAAGGGCGCGUAGGCGGCCUACUAAGUCGGACGUGAAAUCCCUCGGCUCAACCGAGGAACUGCGUCCGAUACUGGCAGGCUGGAAUCCGGGAGAGGGAUGCAGAAUUCCAGGUGUAGCGGUGAAAUGCGUAGAUAUCUGGAGGAAUACCGGUGGCGAAGGCGGCAUCCUGGACCGGCAUUGACGCUGAGGAGCGAAAGCCAGGGGAGCAAACGGG
rnacentral:rRNA from 1 species